rnacentral:rRNA from 1 species
CGCUGGCGGCGUGCUUAACACAUGCAAGUCGAACGGUAAGGCCCUUCGGGGUACACGAGUGGCGAACGGGUGAGUAACACGUGGGUGAUCUGCCCUGCACUUCGGGAUAAGCCUGGGAAACUGGGUCUAAUACCGGAUAGGACCAUGGACUUCACGGUUUGUGGUGGAAAGCUUUUGCGGUGUGGGAUGGGCCCGCGGCCUAUCAGCUUGUUGGUGGGGUAAUGGCCUACCAAGGCGACGACGGGUAGCCGGCCUGAGAGGGUGUCCGGCCACACUGGGACUGAGAUACGGCCCAGACUCCUACGGGAGGCAGCAGUGGGGAAUAUUGCACAAUGGGCGCAAGCCUGAUGCAGCGACGCCGCGUGAGGGAUGACGGCCUUCGGGUUGUAAACCUCUUUCAAUAGGGACGAAGCGCGAGUGACGGUACCUAUAGAAGAAGCACCGGCCAACUACGUG